UUCCUUCUCAUUUUCAAGGAGUCCCCGCGCAACUUGUAAUUGCACUCUUUCUCAGUAGAAAACGGAAGAAGAGAGACAUAAAGAGUUUCUUCUUCCCGCCACAAACCUUUUCUUCCUUCUCAAUCCAAAAAAUUUUAAUUCUUCUUCAACACUAUACAUAUUUCUCCUUACCCAUUUCCUCAACGGUUCGCAGAACCCCUAAACAAGCCUCACCAUGGCUGAUUCCCGAGCUCUUCCUCAUCGCAGUGGAGCAGGUAUAGUCAAAAGUAUCCGUUUAGAGAAUUUCAUGUGUCACAGCAACUUGUAUAUUCAAUUUGGCGAGUGGCUCAAUUUCAUUACUGGGCAGAAUGGAAGUGGUAAGAGUGCUAUUUUGACUGCUUUGUGUGUUGCAUUUGGCUGUCGAGCUAAAGGGACCCAAAGGGCAGCUACGUUGAAGGAUUUUAUUAAAACUGGUUGCAGUCAUGCUGUCAUCCAUGUUGUAUUGCAAAAUAAUGGGGAGGAUGCUUUCAAGCAUGGAAUAUAUGGAGACGUAAUAAUCAUCGAAAGAAGGAUUUCUGAAUCCACUAGUGCCAUUGUUUUAAAGGAUUGUCAAGGAAAAAAGGUUGCCAGCCGAAGGGAUGAACUACGAGAGCUAGUAGAACAUUUUAACAUAGAUGUUGAGAAUCCAUGUGUAAUAAUGAGUCAGGACAAAAGUAGAGAGUUCCUGCAUUCUGGAAACGACAAAGACAAAUUUAAGUUCUUUUUCAAGGCAACUCUUCUUCAGCAAGUGGACGAUCUGCUGAAAAAUAUUUUCGAUAAUUUGAGAUCUGCUAAUGCACUUGUUGAUGACUUGGAGUCUACCAUACGACCUGUAGAGAAGGAACUGAAUGAACUGCGAGGAAAAAUAAAAAACAUGGAGCAAGUAGAAGAAAUCUCUCAACAAGUUCAACAAUUAAAGAAAAAGCUUGCUUGGUCAUGGGUAUACGAUGUAGACAAGCAGCUUCAGGAGCAAAGUGCAAAAAUAGGAAAGCUCCAAGAUCGCAUUCCUAUUUGUCGAGCAAAAAUUGAUCAUCAGCUGGGUCUGGUGGAAAAAUUAAGAGAUCGCUAUAUCGAGAAAAAAACUCAAAUUGCAAGCAUGAUGGAGAGAACUUCAGAAGUGAGAAGAAUGAAGGAUGAACUGCAGGAAACUCUUACCUCGGCAACAAGAGAAAAGCUCGGACUUGAAGAGGAGCAUGGUCGUAAAAUAAACUACAUUCAAAAGCUGGCAAAGCGUGUUAGGCUGCUUGAGCAACAAGUUCAAGAUAUUCAUGAGCAGCACAUAAAAAAUACCCAGGCUGAAGAAUCUGAAAUUGAAGAAAAGUUGAAGGAACUCGAAUCCGAGACUGAAGCUGCUAAGUCAACAGUAAUGAGGUUGAAAGAGGAGGAGAAUGCCUUGAUGGAAAGUCUGUACAGUGGGAGAAAUGAAAUAAAAAAGAUUGCCGAAGAGAUUGCAAGUUACGAGAAAAAAGGCUAUGAAUUUUCUCACUCAAUUCAAGAGCUCAAGCAGCAUCAAACCAACAAGGUCACAGCUUUUGGAGGUGACAAAGUCAUUCAAUUAUUACGUGCGAUUGAGAGACACCAUCAAAGGUUCAAGAAACCUCCCAUUGGUCCAAUUGGUUCCCAUCUGAAUUUGGUCAAUGGUGACAUGUGGGCUCCUGCUGUUGAAAUUGCCAUUGGGAGGUUGCUCAAUGCUUUCAUCGUGACUGAUCACCAAGAUUCUCUUCUUUUGAGAAGAUGUGCAAAUGAAGCUAAUUAUAGGCAACUCCCAAUUGUCAUCUAUGACUUUUCAAGACCAGUGUUAAAUAUUCCAGCUCACAUGCUUCCUCAAACAAAGCAUCCUACGACCCUUUCUGUCAUUCAUUCUGAAAACCAUACUGUCAUCAAUGUUUUGAUAGAUAAGGGUGAUGCUGAGAGGCAAGUGCUUGUUAAAGAUUAUAAUGUGGGUAAAUCAGUUGCAUUUGACCAACGGAUCUCAAAUCUCAAGGAGGUCUUUACAUUAGAUGGAUACAAAAUGUUUUCACGUGGUUCUGUUCAGACAAUUCUUCCCCCAGUUAGAAAGCCCAGAAGUGGCAGACUUUGUAGCUCCUUUGACGACCAAAUUAAAAGUCUUGAAAAAGAUGCAUUGAAUGUAAAACAAGAAGCUGAACAAUGUAGGAAGAGGAAGAGAGUUUCAGAAGAACAACUCCGGGAUCUUGAAGACAACCUAAACAAUGCGAAGAGGAGGUGUCGGAGUGCAGAACGGUUUUUAAUGUCCAAAAAUUUGGAGCUGCAAGAUUUACGAAAGUCACAAGUUGCUGAAACUAGUUCAGUACCUUCAUCAAAUGUGGAUGAGCUACACCAAGAAAUUUCUAAAAUUGAAGAGGAGAUACAAGAGAAUAAGAUGCUUCUUGAAAAGUUUAGAGUUAGGAUGAAAGAAGCGGAAGCAAAGGCAAAAGAUCUUAAAGUAUCAUUUGAAAAUCUGUGUGAGUCGGCAAAAGGAGAAAUUGAUGCAUUUGAAGAAGUUGAGAGAGAUAUGUUGCAGCUUGAAAGAAAAUUGCAUUCUGCAGAAAAGGAGAAGGAUCAUUAUGAAGGUAUUAUGACUAAUAAGGUCCUUUUUGAUAUUAAAGAGGCAGAGAGACAACAUCAGGAGCUUGAGCGUCAUCGUAAGGAGAGUUACAGUAAGGCUUCAAUAAUAUGUCCUGAGAGUGAAAUUGAGGCUUUAGGUGAUUGGGAUGGGAGCACGCCUGAACAACUCAGUGCACAAUUAACGAGGCUAAAUCAGAGACUUAAUAACGAGACCAGAAGAUGUUCUGAAUCUUUGGAAGACCUGAGGAUGAUGUAUGAGAAAAAGGAGCGCACAAUUAUAAGAAAACGACAGACUUACAAAAGUUUUAGAGAGAAGUUGGAUGCUUGCCAGAAAGCUCUUCAGCUACGGUGGAACAAGUUUGAAAGGAAUGCUAGUCUUUUGAAGCGCCAAUUGACUUGGCAAUUUAAUGGCCAUUUAAGAAAAAAAGGGAUCAGCGGAAAUAUAAAAGUUAAUUAUGAGGAAAAGACCCUCUCAGUUGAGGUGAAGAUGCCCCAGGAUGCAUCCAGCAGUUCUGUUCGUGAUACCCGUGGACUUUCAGGCGGAGAACGAUCAUUUUCAACUCUAUGCUUUGCUUUGGCAUUACACGAGAUGACAGAAGCCCCAUUUCGAGCAAUGGAUGAGUUUGAUGUGUUUAUGAAUCAAGUCUUUUCACGAGCUCCCAAUACAUUUACAGGAUGCAGUAAGUCGGAAAAUUAGCUUAGACACUCUUGUGGAUUUUGCAUUGGCACAAGGCUCCCAAUGGAUAUUUAUCACGCCUCAUGACAUCGGGGUGGUAAAACAAGGAGAAAGAAUCAAGAAGCAACAAAUGGCAGCUCCUCGAUCGUGAUGUUCCUGCUGCAUUUAUUUAUGAGAGCUCAAUGCUGUUCAGCGAUCUCUGUAUGAUUCCCAUCCUUCUUUUGUUUCAAUAUAUUCUCAAAUUAUUCACCCUUCUGGAAAAUUUGCCACUGUUUUAUGUAUAUUCUCCAUGUUCAAACCAUGAAUUGUAGAAUUAACAGUUAUAUCUAUGAGAAAGUAGAGAAGGAAAAUCAAAAGCUGAAAGCUAAAGAAAUGUUCUUUUGUAUAUGCUUAGUGUACGAGAGUACUCUACUCAGCAUGGUUUGAAAUAGAAGUGGCUGUUCUGGGAAA